GACAGAGGUGCCGAGCGUUAGGCGGAAUCACUGGGCUUAAAGCGUGUGUAGGCGGGCCGUUAAGUGCCUUGUGAAAUCCCCCGGCUCAACCGGGGAACGGCUGGGCAUACUGGCGGCCUUGAGUCACUCAGGGGUCAGCGGAACAAACGGUGGAGCGGUGAAAUGCGUAGAUAUCGUUUGGAACGCCGACGGCGAAAGCAAGCUGACUGGGAGUGGAUCUGACGCUGAGACACG
rnacentral:rRNA from 1 species